UUACAUUAAAAACACACUAAAACAUCCUCUUAUUACUUUGUUACUUGAGCAUCAAUUUAAAUUGGCAAUACUUAUCUCUAAUCUAGGGCACCAACUUAAAGACUAAAAAAUACAAGGUAAGGGCGGAGUCUCACAAUGAGAUGAGGGUAAUUUGGUGUUUUCUUGUCAUCUGCAUUUUAUGCACCAAUGUCCAGUCCAGACAUCGUCAUCAACAGCAGCGUUUGAAGCAACUCCUUCUACAUCGGCGACAAG